rnacentral:misc_RNA from 1 species
GAUGAAGAACGUAGCGAAAUGCGAUAAGUAAUGUGAAUUGCAGAAUUCAGUGAAUCAUCGAAUCUUUGAACGCACAUUGCGCCCCCUGGUAUUCCGGGGGGCAUGCCUGUUCGAGCGUCAUUUCACCACUCAAGCCUCGCUUGGUAUUGGGCAACGCGGUCCGCCGCGUGCCUCAAAUCGACCGGCUCGGUCUUCUGUCCCCUAAGCGUUGUGGAAACUAUUCGCUAAAGGGUGUUCGGGAGGCUACGCCGUAAAACAACCCCAUUUCUAAGGUUGACCUCGGAUCAGGUAGGGAUACCCGCUGAACUUAAGCAUAUCAAUAAGCGGAGGA